UUUGCCAGACGUGGGAGUUUAGAAGUCAAUCAGAUCGUCUUCUAGAUGACGAUCUUCAUACACUCCUCUCUGAAACAGGAUGUGUUUGAAGUUCCUAAAAGUACAGAGCUGGUAGGAUUUCAGAAAGACACAUUUUGACUAAAUUAAAUAGAAGGCAGCCUUAUAUACUCUGAAUCCUUUUAACGUCUUCUUACUCUUAGCAUUAUAACGACCACAAACGAGUUAGAGCAUAGCUCUUAUUAUAAGCAUCAUGUUUGACAACAGAAUCCACCUUCAACAAAUGUGUGUGUAGUUUUAAUCGGAGUAUUUCAGACCUGAAGGCUUCUUCUUCUGGGAAGGAGAGAUCCUGCACACUGAGCUCAUUGGACGACACAGCUGCCACAAUGCAGUGCUGACAAUCGGGCCUUUCCCCUGAGUCCUUGAGCUGGGGGGAUCAUGAGGACCACCUGGACACUCAACACGGUCUGCAGCCUCACCUGCGUGAGAGGUCAUUCUGAACAGCAGGUUCUUACAUCAUUAAGAGGGAGGAAUGAUGCAGGGUUUUGUCUUUCAGGGGUUUAAAAGAUAUCACAUUCCUAAUUCUUUUAAGAAAUGUUGAUAUGAAAACAUAAAAUAAUAGAGUGAUCAUUUUAUCACUCGAUACACAUUCUCUGUUUUCAGUAAAUAGCUCUGCACCUGGAGUAACAAAUGUUAAAUGUUGUAUCUCUUCAUGUCUCUUGUUUUUCUAGGAAUCAGUUGGUAGUUUAGUGUUUCAUGUUUUGUUUUGUGAAAAAAAAGGAAAUGUAAACUAACUUUGUAAGCAAACAAAGAAUGGUUUUCUUUAUGAAAUGUCUUUUUCUGAGUAAACAUCAUUAUGUUUAUGGUGUGGGGUCUAUACAGAUCUCUGAGACCUGGAAAGACACUAGGAUUGAUUUAUAUUUGAUAUGUUUUUGUCCUAAAGUAGUAAAUAGUAAAUAUUUUAAAGAGGUGUUGAGCUGGAUUCUGCUUCAUGCACAUUAAAAGUUAAUUCCUUGAAUAUGUAAA